rnacentral:lncRNA from 1 species
CGAGCCGCGAGCCCCGCGCCGGGCCGGGGAGUCCCCGGCGCCACACGCCCCCACCACCCCCAUCUUAGCGCCCCCCACCCUCUAUGGAGACAUUUCAACCAGGGAGAAGGGAAGUCCUGCCCUUGCCCCUCGCCCCCGCCCUGCUCCUCCAACAGGGGAGACUUCUGUCCAAACCUUGGAAAGAAACGAGAUGCCAGGCCUAGCGCCUUCGGGGAUCCUCUCUGGACAAGGCCACAGGGUGAAAACACCAGCACAGUCUGGACCUGGGCGGACUUUUUGGAAAAGCUUCUGGAUGCCACGGACUCCACGACCAACCAACUAGGUUGCUGCUGCUUGCAAACAUCGCCUCCAUUGAAGGAUUCCUGCAGCCACCAGCUCUGGAACUUUCUGGAACCAAACAUUUCCCCAGACUGCCUACAAGGACCAAUUGGCCUCUGGAUCACUUCCUGGAGGCGUUUGACCGGGACCUGGGAGGGCAGCUGAGAAGUGCCUGACCAUUCUCAAGGAGCUGCGUGGAUUCCAGACAUCUCUGGGCUGGUCUCUGGACCGGGAUGGGGGACCCAGAGGUGGAGCCGAACACACAAGCAGCACUUGAGGGCUCCGAGGGUGGCAAGGAGAGAAGUUCCUGCUCUGGUACAGCCCUGGGACCUUGAAAGGUGCUUCAACAGAGCGUCCACUCCCAGCGCCUAGCUCUGGGACCUUGAAUGGUGCUUUAACAGAGCGUCUGCUCCCAGCGCCAAGCCCUCAGUGCAGAGGGGGAGACUCAGGCGGCCCUCAGACACAAUUCGCCAAGGUCGCACAGCAAGUCAGGGUGCCGCUAAGACUAGGACCUACAGCUCUGCCUCCUGGCCCAGGCUCCUCAGCACCUGGGCCCCAGAGGACAGCCUGUGGGAGGCCCACAUGGCCACUGCACCAUGAACCAAGGACCUGGUCCGGGUCCACCUCCACCAAGUGCUGGCCGUGUGUCACUGGGGUCACUCCACUCUCUGCAUUAGGUCUCAGUCAUCCAAGACCAUCUUUCAAGGGCCGUCACUCCAAUUAUGAGUCUGGGAUUUUCUGAAAUUGAGCAUUUUGGCCAGGCUGUGGGGUCCCUCUAUGACUGCCUGUAAGACACUGCCAAGGGGACUUUCUUCCUUUCACCAGACUGAAGCUAAGAAGUGCUGGAGACAGCAGUUGCUUUAGCCACAGGCUGUGUAGACCACCUGAGGAUGACCUGGGGGUCUGUUUUGUGCACCUUGGAACCCAUCGGAUCCCUCCAAUGACACAUUUGUCCAGAGCAAGACAAGAUCACACUUUGACAGCCCUCUGUCAAGAUCCUUGCUCCAAAUCUCCAGACUAGCAGCCAGGAGUCUCCAUGCUGUUCUGAAGAAGCAGAUUCCUCACCCACCCUUCAACUCCUUCCCAGGAGGUAAUCCUCCUCCAAAUCUCUGGAAAAGAUACACCUCCUCUUCUCUGAUAAAGGCUGGGGGGUGAUGCCCCUCCCCCAGUUUCCCAAUAAAGCUAUGCAAGACAGGA